rnacentral:rRNA from 1 species
CCUACGGGUGGCAGCAGUGGGGAAUAUUGCAAAAUGGGCGCAAGCCUGAUGCAGCCAUGCCGCGUGUGUGAAGAAGGCCUUCGGGUUGUAAAGCACUUUCAGCGGGGAAGAAGGCGGUGAGGUUAAUAACCUCAUCGAUUGACGUUACCCGCAGAAGAAGCACCGGCUAACUCCGUGCCAGCAGCCGCGGUAAUACGGAGGGUGCAAGCGUUAAUCGGAAUUACUGGGCGUAAAGCGCACGCAGGCGGUCUGUCAAGUCGGAUGUGAAAUCCCCGGGCUCAACCUGGGAACUGCAUUCGAAACUGGCAGGCUAGAGUCUUGUAGAGGGGGGUAGAAUUCCAGGUGUAGCGGUGAAAUGCGUAGAGAUCUGGAGGAAUACCGGUGGCGAAGGCGGCCCCCUGGACAAAGACUGACGCUCAGGUGCGAAAGCGUGGGGAGCAAACAGGAUUAGAUACCCUUGUAGUC